UGGGGAGGGGUUAGGGAAGAGGUUGGGAAGAGGUUGGGAAGAGGUUGGGAAGAGGUUGGGGAGGAGGUUGGGGAGGGAGAAGUGAGCGGGCUGUGUGUGUUAUCAUGCUUGCGUCCCAAAAGGGCACCCUAAUUCCCUUCAUAUAGUGCACUACUUGUGUCCAGGGCCCAUGGGGAUCUGAUCAAAGGUGGUGCACUAUACAGGGAGUAGGGGGCCAUUUGGGACGUAUCCCCUGAGAUGGGUUCAGUUGCUCUCCGGACAGCAGGAUGAACCCCGGGGUCACACCCCAACACUAUAAAGAGGCGCCCUUCCUUCCUUCCUUCUUUCCUUCUCCUUGUUCUUUGUGACAUCACUGACUUGACACAAGUUGAAAGUGUAAAAGCUUGAACUCCAUUUUUUUUCAGUCAUGUCUGAUUCAUUGAUUAUUUCAAGAAAGGAGGCAGAGAGGGAAGAAAGGAGGGAAAGCAGGAUAAAGAGGAAGGAUGAGUGAAGAAAGGAGGGAAAGAGGAAAAGAGAGGAUGGAAGAGAGAGAGAGAGAGAGAGGGAGGGAGGGAGGGAGGGGUACAUUUUAAAGGUGUUGGAAUGUGGCUCUUGCCUUACAGCUCUGACCUGUAAAUUAACACACGCCACAGAUUAUACAUAUAUAUAUAUAUAAAUAGAUGCAUAAAUAUAUAUUAUAUACGAUGAAAAGUCCCUAAAAAUAAUAGGAUGAUGUUGUUGGGAGGGAGAAUGACUUAUCUGCCUUCGGCUCAAUUCCCUUUUGGUUUUUUAGAGAAGUGACUGUAAGAAAAACAACUUUUUUAUGAUGCUAUAAAAAAUAGUUUGUCUUGUUCAUAACCUCCUUUCUCUCAUCCUGUUUUUCUCUGUAUCAAGUUCAGAUAUUCAAGAGUCUAAAGGCCUCUGUUUUUAUUUAAAUAUCAAAUCAUUUUUGGUGUAACAAUUAGGUACGUUACUUGUGAUUUGUUUUCAGUUGAAAUUGCCCAAAAUAAACAAGAAAUAGAUUCUUAGCUGAGAGCAAUUUCUCAAGCAAGAAUGUUGCUCGGACUGUCUGGGAGUGGUCUGGGUGGGGAGGGGAGACUGAAAAGCAGCUGUUAAUGGCAGAGAGAUUUGGAACUCUUUCUUAUUGGUCGAUCAACUAAUUUAACGCAUGGUGAUGUCACCAGGCAGGCCAAAACUCCACCCCACCAAAACAGGCUGAUUUCCUUUUCAAACAGCUCCUACACUAAAAGGGUAUUAUCAUCAUUUUCACAAUGUAACAGUGUUAUUCCAGCCUUAUAGUGUGGAAAUAGACAUAUAAACACAGGAAGAUCACUCUUUUGACGGCACUGGCCUGUAACUACUUACCUUUGUUCUACUGUUCUGUAGCUGCAUCCACCUGCUACUAUACUUCCUUUCUUUUCUUCUUUAGCUUCUUACUCGUUUUCUUUUUUAUAUUCAUGUCCAUCUGUCGAUCUCUCUCUCCUGUCAUCAUCAUCAUCGUCCUCUACCAUCCGUAUCAUAGCUUUUAUUUACUUUUUAUUCCCUUCCUGUUUUUUGCUUCCAUUGUUCUGCUCUGUUUUUAGUUUCCGUGGUAACAGUCGGGGUUGUAGUCAUGUGCCAUAGCUCUGAGUGUUCUGGGUGCGCGGCCUGCUGUGUUGUCACGUCCAGAUAUACAUCAAACCCCUGUAUUCUUUUUUUGGGAUGUUUUUUUAAUUUAAUUUAGCCUUUUCAUAUUUGACGGUUGUUUGUUUUGUUUCUUGUCAUUGUUUUUGUUUUGAAUCACCGGUUGGUUUGUUGAUGAGUGAGGUGUUAAGGUCGAUGGAUACAUUCUGUUCUGAUUAUGGAGUAAAACAUCUUCUUUUUUUUUAAAGAAAAGUAUUAAAAUUAUAUAAAAAUGA